UACGUAGGGUGCAGGCGUUAAUCGGAAUUACUGGGCGUAAAGCGUGCGCAGGCGGUUUCUUAAGUCAGAUGUGAAAGCCCCGGGCUUAACCUGGGAACUGCGUUUGAAACUGGGAGACUAGAGUGUGGCAGAGGGGGGUGGAAUUCCGCGUGUAGCAGUGAAAUGCGUAGAUAUGUGGAGGAACACCGAUGGCGAAGGCAACCCCCUGGGUUAACACUGACGCUGAGGCACGAAAGCGUGGGGAGCAAACAGG
rnacentral:rRNA from 1 species